rnacentral:tRNA from 1 species
GGCCUCAUCGUCUAGUGGUUAGGACGCCAGGUUUUCAUCCUGGUAACAGGGGUUCGAUUCCCCUUGAGGCUGCCA